CGAAGCUGCGGCAGCGACGCUGAUGCGUUGUUGGGUAGGGGAGCGUUCUGUAAGCCUGUGAAGGUGGCCUGUGAGGGUUGCUGGAGGUAUCAGAAGUGCGAAUGCUGACAUAAGUAACGAUAAAGCGGGUGAAAAGCCCGCUCGCCGGAAGACCAAGGGUUCCUGUCCAACGUUAAUCGGGGCAGGGUGAGUCGACCCCUAAGGCGAGGCCGAAAGGCGUAGUCGAUGGGAAACAGGUUAAUAUUCCUGUACUUGGUGUUACUGCGAAGGGGGGACGGAGAAGGCUAUGUUGGCCGGGCGACGGUUGUCCCGGUUUAAGCGUGUAGGCUGGUUUUCCAGGCAAAUCCGGAAAAUCAAGGCUGAGGCGUGAUGACGAGGCACUACGGUGCUGAAGCGACAAAUGCCCUGCUUCCAGGAAAAGCCUCUAAGCAUCAGGUAACAUCAAAUCGUACCCCAAACCGACACAGGUGGUCAGGUAGAGAAUACCAAGGCGCUUGAGAGAACUCGGGUGAAGGAACUAGGCAAAAUGGUGCCGUAACUUCGGGAGAAGGCACGCUGAUAUGUAGGUGAAGCGACUUGCUCGUGGAGCUGAAAUCAGUCGAAGAUACCAGCUGGCUGCAACUGUUUAUUAAAAACACAGCACUGUGCAAACACGAAAGUGGACGUAUACGGUGUGACGCCUGCCCGGUGCCGGAAGGUUAAUUGAUGGGGUUAGCGGUAACGCGAAGCUCUUGAUCGAAGCCCCGGUAAACGGCGGCCGUAACUAUAACGGUCCUAAGGUAGCGAAAUUCCUUGUCGGGUAAGUUCCGACCUGCACGAAUGGCGUAAUGAUGGCCAGGCUGUCUCCACCCGAGACUCAGUGAAAUUGAACUCGCUGUGAAGAUGCAGUGUACCCGCGGCAAGACGGAAAGACCCCGUGAACCUUUACUAUAGCUUGACACUGAACAUUGAGCCUUGAUGUGUAGGAUAGGUGGGAGGCUUUGAAGUGUGGACGCCAGUCUGCAUGGAGCCGACCUUGAAAUACCACCCUUUAAUGUUUGAUGUUCUAACGUGGGCCCCUUACCGGGGUUGCGGACAGUGUCUGGUGGGUAGUUUGACUGGGGCGGUCUCCUCCUAAAGAGUAACGGAGGAGCACGAAGGUUGGCUAAUCCUGGUCGGACAUCAGGAGGUUAGUGCAAUGGCAUAAGCCAGCUUGACUGCGAGCGUGACGGCGCGAGCAGGUGCGAAAGCAGGUCAUAGUGAUCCGGUGGUUCUGAAUGGAAGGGCCAUCGCUCAACGGAUAAAAGGUACUCCGGGGAUAACAGGCUGAUACCGCCCAAGAGUUCAUAUCGACGGCGGUGUUUGGCACCUCGAUGUCGGCUCAUCACAUCCUGGGGCUGAAGUAGGUCCCAAGGGUAUGGCUGUUCGCCAUUUAAAGUGGUACGCGAGCUGGGUUUAGAACGUCGUGAGACAGUUCGGUCCCUAUCUGCCGUGGGCGCUGGAGAACUGAGGGGGGCUGCUCCUAGUACGAGAGGACCGGAGUGGACGCAUCACUGGUGUUCGGGUUGUCAUGCCAAUGGCACUGCCCGGUAGCUAAAUGCGGAAGAGAUAAGUGCUGAAAGCAUCUAAGCACGAAACUUGCCCCGAGAUGAGUUCUCCCUGAGACUUAGAGUCUCCUGAAGGAACGUUGAAGACGACGACGUUGAUAGGCCGGGUGUGUAAGCGCAGCGAUGCGUUGAGCUAACCGGUACUAAUGAACCGUGAGGCUUAACCUUACAACGCCGAAG
rnacentral:rRNA from 1 species